AGUGAACGCUGGCGGUAGGCCUAACACAUGCAAGUCGAACGGCAGCACAGUAAGAUCUUGCUCUUACGGGUGGCGAGUGGCGGACGGGUGAGGAAUACAUCGGAAUCUACUUUUUCGUGGGGGAUAACGUAGGGAAACUUACGCUAAUACCGCAUACGACCUACGGGUGAAAGCAGGGGAUCUUCGGACCUUGCGCGUUUGAAUGAGCCGAUGUCGGAUUAGCUAGUUGGCGGGGUAAAGGCCCACCAAGGCGACGAUCCGUAGCUGGUCUGAGAGGAUGAUCAGCGACACUGGAACUGAGACACGGUCCAGACUCCUACGGGAGGCAGCAGUGGGGAAUAUUGGACAAUGGGCGAAAGCAUGAUCCAGCAAGACCGCGUGGGUGAAGAAGGACUUCGGGUUGUAAAGCCCUUUUGUUGGGAAAGAAAAGCAGCAGGUUAAUACCACGCUGUUCUGACGGUACCCAAAGAAUAAGCACCGGCUAACUUCGUG
rnacentral:rRNA from 1 species